UACAGAGGGGGCAAGCGUUAUCCGGAUUCACUGGGUUUAAAGGGUGCGUAGGUGGGCAGUUAAGUCAGUGGUGAAAUCUCCGGGCUCAACCCGGAAACUGCCAUUGAUACUAUCUGUCUUGAAUAUCGUGGAGGUAAGCGGAAUAUGUCAUGUAGCGGUGAAAUGCUUAGAUAUGACAUAGAACACCAAUUGCGAAGGCAGCUUACUACCCGAAUAUUGACACUGAGGCGCGAAAGCGUGGGGAUCAAACAGG
rnacentral:rRNA from 1 species